UACGUAGGGGGCAAGCGUUAUCCGGAUUUACUGGGUGUAAAGGGAGCGCAGACGGCAUCGCAAGUCUGAUGUGAAAGCCCGGGGCUCAACCCCGGAACUGCAUUGGAAAUUGCGGAGCUUGAGUGUCGGAGGGGUAAGCGGAAUUCCUAGUGUGGCGGUGAAAUGCGUAGAUAUUAGGAGGAACACCGGUGGCGAAGGCGGCUUACUGGACGACUACUGACGUUGAGGCUUGAAAGCGUGGGGAGCAAACAGG
rnacentral:rRNA from 1 species